CUAAAAAUAGUUUAUAAAAAAAUACAAGUUUUGGGGAUUUGAGAAUGUUUAAUAAAAUGCAUUUUUUGA
rnacentral:tRNA from 1 species